AAUUCUCCCCUUCACCGAAAGCCUGGGAAACCGAUUUCAGAGGAACCGAGCAAGGGGAGGGAAGCACGCAGGGCGCCCGCGGUGCCUGUGACGCCCUGGGUCCAGCGCCCUCUCCCUUUCCUGGAGCGCGGAGCGCGGAGCUCUGGCUUGGAAGGAGCGGCCCUCCCACUGGCAGCCAGGCGCUGCUUAAUUGCAGACCAUGUAAUUUCGUAUGGAGAUUCAAUUUUUCUAAUUGGUGCUAGAGAUGAUUGCUAAUGAGGCACAACUCAAGUAAAAGCCCCAGAUAAUUUAUACAGCAGACCCUGCAUCUCAGCAGCGAGAUGGUGCACACCCAGCUCCCCGAAAACUGGCUGCUUAAUUCCUUUUCCUCUUGUUGGAAACAAGAUUUCAGACAUAGCCAAAGUAAUAAAAUAACAAAUGCUCAUUUAAUCAUGCUCUCCAAAUUUACUACAUUGAUAUUUUGCCAUGUCCUUAUGGGGUAUGCUUUUAAUAAAAUGUCAGAUAAAGUUGAGUCCCUUUCUCCCCUUCCUUGAUCCCCCUGUCUCCUGAAUAUAGUCAUUGCCCUCAAGUUGGUAUCAUUGCUCUCAUGUUUUUGUUCGUAUUAUGCAUGUUAGAUAUUAACAAACAUUAAUAACAUUGCCUUUUUGUUUUAAAAAAAAAUUCCAUACAUUUUUCACACUAAUUAUUUUGAAAUUUGCUUCUUUCAUUUAUGCCGUUUUUAAAAACGCAUCCUAGCUGGUCGGUGUCAUUCUAAUUUAUUUUAGUUGCUAUGUAAUAUGACUGUAAUACAAGUCAUUCAUUUUCUUAAUUAGGAACACUAAGUUUUUUUCCUUAUUACAAAAGAUGCAGAAUGAAGAUUCACACAUAACUGCUUGUACAGAUGUGUGAGAGUUUCUCUAGGUCAUAAAACUGGAGGUGGAAUUAUUCCAUUACACUUCAGCCCCUUCAGAUUUACCAGAUAGUGUGAAACUGUUCUCCAAAUACUUUCACUAGUUUAUACCCCCAAGGAUUGAAAAGUUGCUGGUAAGUUGUAUUCUCAAAUUUAAUUUUUCAUACAACAGUCCCCCCUUGAUCCUGGGGGACAUAGUUUAAGAAGCCCAGUGCAUAUCUGAAAGCAUGGGUGGUACCAACCCCUACGUGUACUACUUAUAUAUACUACACACAUACACACACCUGAGUAUGCCUAUGGUAGUUGAAUUUAUGAAUUAGACAUAGUAAGAUUAACAAUAAAAAUAUUAUAGAAUGGUUAUAACAAUGUACUGUAAUUCUGUUGUCAUGAAAUUUUUAUACAAUGCUUAAUCUUGUGUUUUGUGGCAAUUACUAAAUGAAAUGAACAAAGGCACUGCGAUACUGUCAAUCUGAGAACCUAAAUGACCACGAAGAGAAACGGAGUGUGGGGAUACUGACUAACAGGGCGAGGUAGGGAGGGUGGCGCGAUUCAUUAUGCUACUCACAAUGAUGUGCAAUUUAAAACCUACCAAGUGUUUACUGUUGGAAUUUUCUAUUUAAUAUUUUCAGGUUGCACUUGACCACGCAUAACUUAAACCAGAAAUUGAAACUGUGGGUAAGAUAGGAUUUGAUUGGUGAUUGUACUGGGGAUCAAGCCCAGAGGCCCUUUAUCGCUGAAUUUCGGUUCUAGUUCUUUUUAUUCUUUUAUUUGGAGACAGAGUCUAAGUUGCCCCAGCUGGCCUUGAACUUGAGAUCCUCAUGCCUCAGCCUCCUGAAUCACUGGCUCACCUCUGAGCCUUGCUAUAAGUUCUCGGCAGACACAACAUCUUUGUAUGGGGUGCUGAGGAUUGAACCUGGACCGCACGCAUGCCAGGUGAAUACCACAUACGUUUUUCUGUUAAAAAUCCUUAAGAGAAUUCCGAUACUCUAUCCGGGACAUCACCCUUACCUACCUUGGGAAUCACACCAAAUUCUUAGAAAGCUGGAUCUGCAGGACGUGGAGCAACAGCGUGGCCCAUUCUUCUGAAGGGCUUCACCUGACCUUCCAGUUUGGAAUUUGAAGGUAACACACUUCUCACAAAUCUUAUUGGACUCUAAUUGUGCUAUUACUUGCCAGUUGACCUAUAUUAAAUGGGUCUGUCUUUGCCAAAAGGCCCUAAAAUUAGUUCAGUUUGCAAUAUAGCAAACAUUUUGUUGUGCCUUUGCUGGAGGCCCCUUCCCUGUGGUGGCUCCAGCAAGCACCUCUCAUACCUCCUGAAUCUCUGGACCAGCACAACACAAGUUGCUCUUGUGCUUCUGAUAUGAGAAACAUGCUUCUGAUAAAAGAAAUCCCCUUCCUCCAUUUCAUGAUAUAUGCUGGGAGAAUGAUCUCUGCUGGCCCAAACUGGGCUCUCUUGGACAUGCUGCUCUCUCAGCCCAUGACUUUCCAUGUUCAGCAGCUCACUACCCUAGGUCACAGGAGCAGCACACCCAGAGGUUUGGCAUGGCGGGCGAGGUCUCCAGCUGCAGGACAGACUUGGCUAGAUGCCAUGGUGCUAAAGACAGGCAACCCUCUCCCAAAGCCUUUGACUUGGUGAAGCUCCUGCAAUCAACUCUGAAUAGCAAAGGGAAUUUUCAGACUUUACAGACUUCAUCACCACCCUCACUCCUGACGAAGUUGCUGAACUUCUUAACUAGAAUGUCCUCAAUAAAGGACAGGACUCACCUUACAGCACAAUUGGACCCGCUGGCAGGCAUAUUGACCAGUCAUAACUGGUCCAAAAUUGGCUCCAUCUGCAAGUGUUUAAAGACUGUCACCAUUUCCAGUGGCCUUGCUGUCUGGUGCAAGGAAGGCAACAAUGAUGAGUCACCCAGCUUUCCUCUUUGGAGUACAAAAAUUGGGUUUCUCUUGCCUGAUGGAUACACAAAACAAAUCAAAUUUGCAUCUGUUUCUAAAACUGUUUGACCUAUCCAAAAGCUCAGUCCUUGUCCUUGAUGCCGAGUUAAUAAUGGAGACAAGGUCUUGAGAAAAAGGAAAAAAAAAAAAGGUUUAUUGCUUUGCUAGCAAGGGAGAAGCACAGGGGACUCCUGUCUCAAAAGCUGCAAUUCUGCCCACUGUCCCAAAGGCUGCGAUUCUGCCCAUCCACAGGAAAAGGAGGCUUUUAUAGAGGUGAUCCAGAGAAAAAUGAGAUUAGGCAGGAGCGAUCAGGAAGGGGUUUGCUUUGUAGUCCAUGUAUGGCCCCUUACAUUUAUCGCCAGUGGUGCUAAAGAUGAGCAGAUUAGUAGCAGGUCCCUUGUAUGGGUGACAGUAGAUGACAGACCUGGCUUUAGGUUGCAGUCUGAGACCUAAAAUACGAUGUACUGGCCCUCCUAGAACAUAUUCCCUACUGACUGAGUUUGGGAUCCCGGGGACAUGGUUGAGGUCAAUACUGCAGGGUGGUUUCUUCCUGCUGUUAAUGAAACACUGAGUGGAACUGAAUGGACCUGGUGCAGCCUUUCCCAGCUAAAUGGCUCAGAGUAGCCCAUGGAGUCCUAGGAUCAUGGGAAACUUUGCUGCA